rnacentral:rRNA from 1 species
CCUACGGGUGGCAGCAGUGGGGGAUAUUGCACAAUGGGGGGAACCCUGAUGCAGCGACGCCGCGUGGGUGAAGAAGCGCCUCGGCGCGUAAAGCCCUGUCAGCAGGGAAGAAAAUGACGGUACCUGAAGAAGAAGCCCCGGCUAACUACGUGCCAGCAGCCGCGGUAAUACGGAGGGGGCAGGCGUUAUCCGGAGUUACUGGGGUUAAAGGGGGCGCAGACGGGGAUGCAAGCCAGGAGUGAAAGCCCGGGGCCCAACCCCGGGACUGCCGUUGGAACUGUGUGGCUGGAGUGGAGGAGGGGCAGGCGGAAUGCCUGGGGUAGCGGUGAAAUGCGUAGAUAUCAGGAGGAACACCGGUGGCGAAGGCAGCCUGCCGGACUGCAACUGACGUUGAGGCACGAAAGCGUGGGGAGCAAACAGUAUUAGAUACCCCGGUAGUC